rnacentral:rRNA from 1 species
UACAGAGGUCUCAAGCGUUGUUCGGAAUCACUGGGCGUAAAGGGUGCGUAGGCGGCGGGGAAAGUCAGAUGUGAAAUCCGGAGGCUCAACCUCCGAAUGGCAUCCGAUACUACCUCGCUAGAGAUUUGUAGAGGAGCUUGGAAUUCUCGGUGUAGCAGUGAAAUGCGUAGAUAUCGGGAGGAACACCGAUGGCGAAGGCAGCACUCUGGGCCGGUACUGACGCUGAGGAGCGAAAGCGUGGGGAGCGAACAGG